rnacentral:lncRNA from 1 species
AAGUCGGGUCAAGGGUUGAACCCGAUUGAACAUCCCAACCCUAGCAUGUCUUAGAGACAUGUUUUAAAUAUAAAAUGCAUGAUGUAUGUAUAGAAUCUUUUUUAGUAGCUUAGUACUCUAAUUGAGAUUCAUCACUAGGCCAUCCGAUCAUAAGACCAAGUAGGAUUCAAAGAUUCUCUCUUCCUCUUCCAUAGGGUAUUCUUAUGGCGUGUAGGAGUGCCACUGUGAUGUCUCAAGAAGAAGAACCACGAAAAGAUUAUUUUGUAUUCAUUCAUGUUAUUAAAAUUUCAUGCAUAUAUG